GUGGAUUAGAUACCCUGGUAGUCCUAGCCCUAAACGAUCAGGACUUGGGGUGCCGCCCGUUCGGGCGUCGUCCCGGAGCUAACGCGUUAAGUCCUGCACCUGGGGAGUACGGUCGCAAGACUGAAACUCAAAGGAAUUGACGGGGGCCCGCACAAGCGGUGGAACAUGUGGUUCAAUUCGACGCUACGCGAGGAACCUUACCUGGGCUCGAAAUGCUUAUGACCAGCUGUAGAAAUACGGCCUUCCCGCAAGGGACAUGAGUAUAGGCGCUGCACGGUCGUCGACAACU
rnacentral:rRNA from 1 species